AACGAACGCUGGCGGCAGGCCUAACACAUGCAAGUCGAACGCCCCGCAAGGGGAGUGGCGCACGGGUGAGUAACGCGUGGGAAUCUGCCCUUUGGUCUGGAAUAACCCUGGGAAACUAGGGCUAAAACCGGAUAAGCCCCGCGAGGGGGAAAGUUUACGCCGAAGGAGGAGCCCGCGUCCGAUUAGCUAGUUGGUGAGGUAAGAGCUUACCAAGGCGACGAUCGGUAGCUGGUCUGAGAGGACGAUCAGCCACACUGGGACUGAGACACGGCCCAGACUCCUACGGGAGGCAGCAGUGGGGAAUAUUGGACAAUGGGCGCAAGCCUGAUCCAGCCAUGCCGCGUGAGUGAUGAAGGCCUUCGGGUUGUAAAGCUCUUUCGGCGGGGACGAUGAUGACGGUACCCGCAGAAUAAGCCCCGGCAAACUUCGUGCCAGCCGCCGCCGUAAAAC
rnacentral:rRNA from 1 species